rnacentral:lncRNA from 1 species
AGAGGCAGAGAGAGAGAGAGGAGCCACCCUGAGAAGGAAGAGACCAGGUGGGCUCUGAGACAGGGAGACCCUUUCUACGUCGGUGCCUUGACAUGUGACUUUUUUGUCACUUCGUGCUCCAGGAUCACACCUGGAUGAACUAUCACUUUCAAAUGACCUUGUCUUUUCUCGGGCCUUCUGAACUGAUCAUCUCUUCCUUCUGAUACAAGAGGAUCUUCCCUGGAAGACCACUGCACACCUUCUAGUAACACUGCGACCCUGGAUGCAUAUUUAGAAAAAUCUCAGCACAUCUCUGGGCAAUGAAAUCAUUCUUUUGGGACCUGACACAUGAACUGAAGUGUAAUUGGCAUUCUUCGUGGAAGGGGCAUGGAUUUAAAUUGUCAUAAUAUUCUACUUUGAAGAACACCAGUAGACCGAAGCAAGAUGACUAAUUUUUAAUGCCAAAGUAUGCAAAACCUGCCACUUCACUGGCAAGCCAUGAAUUAUUCAUAAAUAUAGACUUGG